GGAUUGUGGCUCAGUGGUGGAGUGCUUGCCUAGCAUGUGUGAGGCACUGGGUUCAAUCCUCAGCACCA
rnacentral:tRNA from 1 species